GACGAACGCUGGCGGCGUGCUUAACACAUGCAAGUCGAACGGAAAGGCCCUGCUUUUGUGGGGUGCUCGAGUGGCGAACGGGUGAGUAACACGUGAGUAACCUGCCCUUGACUUUGGGAUAACUUCAGGAAACUGGGCUAAUACCGGAUAGGAGCUCCCGCUGCAUGGUGGGGGGUGGAAAGUUUCGGCGGUUGGGGAUGGACUCGCGGCUUAUCAGCUUGUUGGUGGGGUAGUGGCUUACCAAGGCUUUGACGGGUAGCCGGCCUGAGAGGGUGACCGGCCACAUUGGGACUGAGAUACGGCCCAGACUCCUACGGGAGGCAGCAGUGGGGAAUAUUGCACAAUGGGCGGAAGCCUGAUGCAGCAACGCCGCGUGCGGGAUGACGGCCUUCGGGUUGUAAACCGCUUUCGCCUGUGACGAAGCGUGAGUGACGGUAAUGGGUAAAGAAGCACCGGCUAACUACGUG
rnacentral:rRNA from 1 species